GUGAACCAGAGGAUCCCGAUUAUUCAGCAUCGACGAGAUUUGCAAUCGACAUUCUCUUCCUUUCGCCGCUCAUUAUAUUGCGCCGCUUUAACCGCACGGAUCUCCUCCUCUUCGUCACGGGUUCGUUUCUCCGAAAAGGAGGAAAACGAGGUAGAGAGAUGGCGAGAACAGAGAAGCAUGGCGUAGUGCAAGCUGGCGAAGGUGGAUAGGGAAGGCGCAUCACCGUGCCGCGACCGCCACAGACCACUACCACCCCCACCAAUUAACCGUCCUUCUCCUCCCAAGUCACGAAGCCGCUGGAAACAAGAGAUACGCCUGGGGUACAGAGAGGGAGAGAGUAAAGUCAGAUUGCACAGUCUGCGAAAGCGGGAGACACGCGGGGACUUGAGACAAAUCCGUGUAAUUGGUAUUAAACAAAGGAAAGGAAAGAAAGUUGCAUGAAGAGGACGGAGAGAAAGCAAAUUUCAGAGAAAGGAGAGAAAGAGAGAGAGAGAGAGAGAGAGAAAGAAAAAACUAAGAUAAAAGGGGAAGAAAUGGUCGUUAGGUACUGUACAAACCUCGGCUCCACCUAAAGUGGCGUUUUCCACCUCGAUGAUAUUUCAAAGACGCGAAACAGUUUUUAUAUAUUCGGUCGGUAAGGUAAAAACGCCGAAACGAUCUCUCGUGGAAAUCACCGGCAGAUUAAUUUCUCUUCAUUAGAGGGAGAGAUUCCCCUCAUCUCGUAGCCUCGUCGAGUACUCAGGAUAUCGAUACUUUAAUAACGCUCUUCUCCACUUCACGAGUUCAGAGUUCAAUUGCCUUUUUUGUCAUUAAUUGUCGUUUCACGAUGGCGUCCGCUAGAGAGCGCUGUGAAAAGCACUCGAAACGCGCACAGGGAAUCCCUGCUGGAGCACCGGGGCACAAAGUCAGCCUCCGUUUGAUCGUUUACUUGUCGUUUUCGCAUCACUUGAUAGGCAAUUGUUUCGACAAACUUGGGGUGCAGCGUUUUUUCUUUGUAACCAGCCUCCUCUGGUCUCGUUCCCGCGCAUACGGCCUUUCGUUUAAUCCCUUCAUGUAAAUGCAACAGAGAAUUCUUUUUAAGCCGUAUUUACGCGCUUUACAUAUUUCACCUUCUGCAAACGUUUCAGGCGGGCUUGGCAAUCGCGUUUGGUACACACACCGACACGGUGAUCUCAAAUCGUUGUCGAAUGUCGAGAAAACGAACCGCACUUUUUCUCAGGCUUGUGUCGUCGUCGAUUCCCCUCCUUAUCUACCGACCCUGCCACCACCAAUGCCACAGGGGGCUCUACGACCGAUGAUAAACACUGUAGCAUCGGUAGCUGGAUGCACGCUUUUUUGUCGGCUGCUCUCCCGCGUAUUUUGCACGCUUAAAAAGUUUCAGCUCUGCUAUAUAACGAGCUUAAGACCUCGCGCGGUUAACGAGCAAUGAUUUACCACGUUCCCUGCCAUAUGGCAACUACCAAUACAUACACGCACACGAAUGAACACUUGCACGUCUGAAUACAAACGAUUCGUGUGCGCGUUCGAGAGCGGCGACUGUAUAAAUCACGGCCGGCGUACAGGCCUAAUAUAAUCGCGCCUAAUAAAGUUGGCAGCCACUAAAUUUUCUUAACUCGGCCCCCUCCCCUUACUCCGAUUCGACGAUGUAAUUCUCCAACGAGCAUGCACGCUCCGCGCUCUCUAGGAAUUUGCUGCAGUCGAUUCCAACUGAAACACGAUGGAAAGUUUAGAAACAGGUGGAAGUUAAGAUGUUCGUGAGCACUGUACAAUUACUCGUUAAAGAAACUUUCUAUAACUAACUAUAAGUUCCAAAAAUUCCAUCCAAAUAUGACCAAAUCGUAUACUUUCAGGAAAUAUGGGACCCGGGUACAUCCACUAAAUAACGUCAUCAUUGACCAGUCUAGAGGUAUCGUCCAAUAUGGCCGACGACAGAAGUGGAAGGGAGAUAGAAGAAAGAAAAAUUGGAUUUCAUGGUCGAAGAAUAUCGAAUGGCCAGAAAUAAAUCGUUUCCCAAGCAAGAACCGCUUUUCGAAGGACGACUUAGUUAAGGGACUGAACUCGUGUUUGGCUCGGCACUAGCCCAACCAUGUAUUUACAUGAGAGAUUUACGGUACGCUGCUACCGAUCCCUACCAUGUAUAUUCUCGGUGCAUUAGCGUUCGAACGGCUGGAGAACGUCGCCAGCAGAAGCGACUAGUUUGACCUUUGGACCGGGUUCCUUUCCCUCGGCGCUGCAUCUGCAAAGCAAACUCCCCAGGGGCCACGCGAUUACGUUUUCUUCCAUUUUCAUCAAUUUGACGAGCUCUUGCCCAUAAUUCGUAUCUCUCUCUCGCUUUCGAGCUUUCCGCAUUUCCCGCACGGUGUCACUGCUUUGCCGCGAGAUAAAUUUCAUACAGCCAAUUAUCCACGGAGAGAUUCGGUAUUAGAAUGAUUAGCUAACAGCCUAUCUAUAUACGAUUUGUGCUAUGAUAUGCCUCGCGAGAAGAAGAAACGAUAGGUUAUGAGGCACAUUUCUCGUUACGGACCAUCCAGGGUAUUUCGUCUGAUUAAUUCAACAAACCCGUCCUCGAAUUUAAUCCUGCCACGGUAUGCAUUUCACAGUGUCGCUGUCCAUGAAAAAAGUGACAGCCAUGAUAUUAAUAUUAUUCGAGGGAGAUAAACGCAAAGGGCAACCGCCAUUAUGUGGACGCAUAUGUGUACGCCGACUGUCAGCCACCUAUCGAUCAUCGCCACAAUUAUCGGCGAGCCAAGAGCAAUACGGGAUUCGUCGAGAUCGAGAAAUGACGCCAUUGAAGCGUUGCUCUGAAGUUUGUCCAAGUUUCUGCGUAUGAGAGCCGUGAUUUAGCAUAGUGAUUCUCAAGAAUGAAUUUUGGUAUAGAGAGACUGGAAUGUGAAGACAUUAUACCCGAUGAAAAAGAAAUUUAAACUAUGACGUAACCGGUAACCACGAUAUUUCUGUAUGUCUGCACGAAUUCGCAAUUCCUAUGGAUGAUGUGGGCUCCAUGAUAUUCAUGCGAAGGCAGCAUUUACGAGAUGCGAUUCUAAAAACGCGUCCACCAAGCCUCGAGCUCAUUCAAAACAGUUACACGUCGCACAAAGACCCUGAUGGGAAGGCAAAAAGACAUCGGACAGGCUCUGAAGACUUCCUUGGAAUACCAGCGACACACUUUGAAAGGGCGCCAUCUAGAAGACACGUUUGUGCGUCUGAAGUUUCUUCUGAAAACAAGAUCGAGAUAACCUCAAAGCCGACAGAGGUCGACGGGAUGCGCAUCGAUUGAAAAUCGAAACGUCAUUCUCGUCGGGUUGCGUUGUUCUGACAUGAGCAGCGGACUUGGGGUAACCUACCGCCUCGAAUUAGCGACCCGUUCGCCUCCUCUGCCUUGGAUGAGCAUGUUUUCUCGAUUAUCCCAUGAAGAACCCCUCGCAUUGCCCGCGGUCCUCUCUGUUGAAUAUCAAACGAGGCAUACAGGUGAAAGUAUAGAGUAAGAGAGAGAUGCUCGGUGCCUUAGUCAUCCUAGACGUAUUGUUGGACCAUCAACGGAGAGAGAGUAGGUAGAACAAUGCCGCCAUGCGUCACGACGCCUGGACGUCUGCAGUGAAUGCAGCUAUGUGGAGAAUAAUUAUCGUUGUUUGCACUUCGUUUUCCUGUCCGUCGUUGGGACGUUAAUAUUUUUCGGCCUUAAUUGAUGCGCCGAUAAUGGCACGUGGGCUCCACGGAAUGGACGCUUGUUUAGUCGGGACCGUGGUCGGCUCCCAUUUAUAUAGAUGGAAAGGGAGAUGAAGGUGGAUACAUACACGCAUACACAGCACGCUGACGCUCAGUUCAACGUCAAUGAGCAGUACACAAUGGACAAUAAUGUAUUCCUUCUGGCAUGGUGUCAUUCCCUUUUGUUGUCAAUGUAAGACGAAUGAAUUUUGAACCGAGGAAUGUGACUUAUGUUUGAUCAUAUUUACCCAGUAAGUGU
rnacentral:lncRNA from 1 species